CAGCCCUUGACAUGGCAGGACGGUUUCCGGAGACGGAUUCCUUCUCGCAAGAGACUUGCACACAGGUGCUGCAUGGCUGUCGUCAGCUCGUGUCGUGAGAUGUUGGGUUAAGUCCCGCAACGAGCGCAACCCUCGCCCUUAGUUGCCAUCAUUCAGUUGGGCACUCUAAGGGGACUGCCGGUGAUAAGCCGCGAGGAAGGUGGGGAUGACGUCAAGUCCUCAUGGCCCUUACGGGCUGGGCUACACACGUGCUACAAUGGCGGUGACAGUGGGAUGCAAUGGAGCAAUCCUGCGCAAAUCUCAAAAAGCCGUCUCAGUUCGGAUUGUGCUCUGCAACUCGAGCACAUGAAGUUGGAAUCGCUAGUAAUCGCAGAUCAGCACGCUGCGGUGAAUACGUUCCCCGGGCCUUGUACACACCGCCCGUCACACCAUGGGAGUUGGGUUUACCUUAAGACGGUGCGCUAACCGCAAGGGGGCAGCCGGCCACGGUAGGCUCAGCGACUGGGGUG
rnacentral:rRNA from 1 species